UCCAAUCUGGAGUUUGCUAGGGUUCUCACUGAGACAGACUAAGAGACAGAGAAUACAUAUACAUAGACGCACACAUACAAACACAUACUGACAUUUGCACACAUUUCAGACUAAAACAGCAGCAUUCUUUUCAUCAUACGGAGUUCGGACUUGCUCAACACAAUGCCACGAGGCAAGUCUUUUCGCCGUUCGGAGGCAGCCAAACGGCGUAUGGCAGGACGGCGAACGGUUGACGUGGAACCACAGCAGCCUGCUAAUGCCUCUGUCUCGCAGUCCGGCACUGGUCAGCGCCAUGCUGUGAGACAAUGGCCAAAAUCUUUGCUGACAGGCCGUCAGCACAAGCUGGUUUUGCUGUGUGAAUCCCCUGGCAAGAAGGGAUGAUAAUGAUAAUGAUAAUAAUGAUAAUAAU